ensembl:lncRNA
GUCAGGAGUAAGGUUGAGACAGGUUUUAACAUAAGGCAAGAGCUGGGGUCAGGGUUGUGGUAGAGGCUGGGGUCAGGUUUGUGGCAGAGGCUGUGGUCAGGUUUGUGGUAGAGGCUGGGGUCAGGGUUGUAGUAGAGGCUGGGGUCAGGGUUGUAGUAGAGGCUGGGGUCAGGGUUGUAGUAGAGGCUGGGGUCAGGUUUGUAGUAGAGGCUGGGGUUAGGGUUGUAGUAGCGGCUGGGGUCAGGGUUGUGGUAGGUUCUGGGGUCAGGGUUGUGGUAGAGACUGGGGUUAGGAUUGUGGUAAAGGCUGGGGUUAGGGUUGUAGUAGAGACUGGGGUUAGGAUUGUGGUAAAGGCUAGGGUUAGGGUUGUGGUAGAAGGUGGGGUCAGGGUUGUGGUAGCGGCUGGGGUCAGGGUUGUGGUAGCGGCUGGGGUUAGGGUUGUAGUAG